rnacentral:rRNA from 1 species
UACAGAGGGGGCAAGCGUUGUUCGGAAUUACUGGGCGUAAAGGGCGCGUAGGCGGCCUGUUAAGUCGGACGUGAAAUCCCCGGGCUCAACCCGGGAACUGCGUCCGAUACUGGCAGGCUUGAAUCCGGGAGAGGGAUGUGGAAUUCCAGGUGUAGCGGUGAAAUGCGUAGAUAUCUGGAGGAACACCGGUGGCGAAGGCGGCAUUCUGGACCGGUAUUGACGCUGAGGCGCGAAAGCCAGGGGAGCAAACGGG